rnacentral:lncRNA from 1 species
UUUUUCCCCAUUUGUAUCUAUUUCCAGACUGGUGAAAUAAGUUUUUAUGUCCCAUCUUGUCUCUUUUCAUUAAAAAUAGAAGAACACAACUAAGACAUCCCAGUUUGGGAUCAUCUAACUUCAUGUUAUUCUGGAUUCUUUCUUGUUACGGUAUCACUACACUAUGCAUGUGAGGAAACAAACACGUAGGUGCUUGAACAUGCCCCACAGAUGCACUUGUAGCCCUGGUAUUUGUGACUGUCGUGACCAACGCAGUGCAGACUUUACACGUGGAACGUUACACUCUCACAGGACUUAAGAACUAUGUAUAUUAAGCAAUUCACUUUCUGGAGCGAUCAGCUCUUGCAGGCAAAUGAACUGCCUGGAGCGCUGAAUGGGAUGGAUUUCCAUCUGGCUUCACAGUUCAAUGAGCUGAUAUGAAAUGGAGCUUUGAAAUGUUUUAUCUGUGCAGAAAUAUGAACUAGAAAAAAAAAGUGCUGGUCUCAUGCUAAGUUUUCUCUGUGUAUAGACUCAGUUGCCAAAAUUAUAAUGAAAACUGUAUUUUAGUCUAACAAAUGUAUAGAAUUUUUUAAUGUAAUAAAUAAAAUUUUAUAGG